rnacentral:rRNA from 1 species
GACGAACGCUGGCGGCGUGCCUAAUACAUGCAAGUCGAACGCACAGCGAAAGGUGCUUGCACCUUUCAAGUGAGUGGCGAACGGGUGAGUAACACGUGGACAACCUGCCUCAAGGCUGGGGAUAACAUUUGGAAACAGAUGCUAAUACCGAAUAAAACUUAGUGUCGCAUGACACAAAGUUAAAAGGCGCUUUGGCGUCACCUAGAGAUGGAUCCGCGGUGCAUUAGUUAGUUGGUGGGGUAAAGGCCUACCAAGACAAUGAUGCAUAGCCGAGUGGAGAGACUGAUCGGCCACAUUGGGACUGAGACACGGCCCAAACUCCUACGGGAGGCUGCAGUAGGGAAUCUUCCACAAUGGGCGAAAGCCUGAUGGAGCAACGCCGCGUGUGUGAUGAAGGCUUUCGGGUCGUAAAGCACUGUUGUAUGGGAAGAACAGCUAGAAUAGGGAAUGAUUUUAGUUUGACGGUACCAUACCAGAAAGGGACGGCUAAAUACGUGCCAGCCGCCGCUGUAA